rnacentral:rRNA from 1 species
AGCAGCCGCGGUAAUUCCAGCUCCAAUAGCGUAUAUUAAAGUUGUUGCAGUUAAAAAGCUCGUAGUUGAAUUUCGGGAUCAGAUUGUCGGUCGUGCCUCGGUACGCACUGGCAUUAUUGGUUCCUACCUUCUGAAGAACCGCGAUGUCAUUAAUUUGGUGUCGCGGGGAAUCAGGACUGUUACUUUGAAAAAAUUAGAGUGUUUAAAGCAGGCUUACGCUUGAAUACAUUAGCAUGGAAUAAUGAAAUAGGACGUUUGAUUCUAUUUUGUUGGUUUCUUAGGAUCGACGUAAUGAUUAAUAGGGAUAGUUGGGGGCGAUUAGUAUUCAAUUGUCAGAGGUGAAAUUCUUGGAUUUAUUGAAGACUAACUACUGCGAAAGCAUUUGCCAAGGAUGUUUUCAUUAAUCAAGAACGAAAGUUAGGGGAUCGAAGACGAUCAGAUACCGUCGUAGUCUUAACCAUAAACUAUGCCGACUAGGGAUCGGAUGAUGUUAAUUUUAUAAUGACUCAUUCGGCGUCCG